AAUUGAACCCCGGUCCUCUGGAAGAGCAGCCAGUGCUCCUAACCUCUGAGCCACCUCUCCAGCCCAAAGGUUUUGUUUGUUUGUUUGCCUGCUUGCUUUGUUUUGUUUUAGUACUAGAAAAGAAGGUAAAUAAAUAUAAGCUGGGCAGUAGUGGCAUAUGCCUUUAAUCUCAGCACUCCAGAGGCAGAGGCAGGAAGAUCUCUGAGUUCGAGGCCAUCCUGGUCUACAGAGAGAGUUCCAGGACAAUCAGAGCUACACAGAGAAACCCUGUCUCAAAAAACAAAAAAACAAACAAACAAAGGAAGGUGGUAAAUACAGCAGUGAGCAUUUCAAAAGCUAUCAUUCUUCGAUGAAACUAUGAUGCGGAAAUCCAUCUAGAAUAAUGAUCAAGGUCAGCACCACAUUGGGAAUUUGCAAAGAAGCUAAUUUCAAGUUAAAGUGACAGUACUGUCCAGAAGUGGCAUUAUCUUCUCCCGAAAGAGCCCUCCAAAACCCAGUGCAUUCAAAGGGAACUCAGUCGUCUAAGGACCACGUCCAAGCAGAAGCUGGAAAUCUACUCUACAGAUAAGUGCAUACAGGAUACCUCCGAGCCAGAUACUGUCCCCUUUCAUGAGAACAACGACUGUCAUGUGUUGAACAGACUCCGGUGAAUGGGCUGUGUCAUUCACUCAAGCAAAGCCCCACGCCAAGUCUGACCGGCAGUGAUUAGGACUCCAUCAACCGUCCUUAGGGAGCAGGCCCAAUAGCCCAGGACAAAGGCUGGGAAAGGCUCCUACAGGCCCGGCAAGCCGCAGGACAGAUGGGGGCCACACCUCCUGGCUCUCCCAGCUCCCCUCCUCCUGCACACGGGCCUCCUUUCUGUUCCCCACCGCGGCAGCCUAGCCCUGCCCUCUCAUUGUUCUCUCUGCCCUCCUGAUCCCAGGAGCGCCUUUCUUUCUCCCUACAGGCUGCCAGGGGUUUCCUGUACAUCAUCGUGUAGCCGUAUCCAGGGGCAGAAACAGCUCCCUUCAUGUUUGAUCCGUGGAAAAAUGAAAACAAAAACAAAAGGAAUUCUGCAGAAGCCGUCCCGAGCCUGUCGGUCUGGAGGGAGCAGACCUGGCCUUCUCCUUCUUCCAUGAAGCACUCGGGUGCCUCGGUUUCUCCCUUCUCCAUCACUCUCCAACCCCUGUGUUGUAAUUUGCAUCAUCUGCAUGGUUCCCAGAAUGUAGCCUCCUGGCUACUGAGCGAGGUCCUGAUGCUCACUCUCACAGCCCCAGACAGACAGCAGUGACAUCCAUUCUCUUAGAAUACUUGGUUGAUGGUCACAGCACACACACACACACACACACACACACACACACACACACACACACACACACACACACACACCAUUGUCUCUGCGUUUAUCACAACCAAAUCUGCCAGGCCGUUUCUCUUCAGCCCCUUCACCUGAUGUCUUUGCUGACUCCUCCCCAGACAGGAACCCGAUUAAGUUGGCCUAAGCAGGCGCAUCUACCUGUAUAAAAUGCUCACACACACCCUCACCCAUCUCUCUGUUGGUUGAAGUCUCUUACAGCAAAACUCAGGGCCAGCUCCUCCAUAAAGCCCUAAUGAGUUUCUUCAGCAGGGAGAUCUCAUGGUGCUUCCCUGGAGUUUCUCAUCCUACCUGACCAACCGGAUUGUCCUUGGCCCUCCUGGAUAGAGACCGCUAAUUAAUUUUGCUAUCCCUACAUAAUCCUUUCAGGCAAGCUUCUAUCUCUGAGCUAUAUCUCCAGCCCCAGACACAUAACCUUUCCAACGUGAUACUGUGCUUGUCAUUUAAUCUGGGUCAUUUUUUUGUAUCUUUAAUGUCUAUAUUUAUCAAGUUCAUUCUUUCCUGCAUUUUUAAGUAUAUGAAAUAUAUUUACUAUAUUAAUUCUGA